AGUGAGAUAACUGGGUCAAACGGUGGUUCCAGUCCCAGUUUUCCAAGGAAUCUCCAAACUUCUUUCCAAAUUGGCUGCACCAAUUUUCAGUCCCACCAGCAAU
rnacentral:pre_miRNA from 1 species